AAAGUCGUAACAAGGUAACCGUAGGUGAACCUGCGGUUGGAUCAUUAACAAAACUUUAUUGAUUUUUCCUUCCCUCACUUAUUGUGGGGGGAAAAAGGGAAAUCUCUUUAAACACUUUCCUAAAGUGUGAAAAAAAAACUGUUUUGUUGGUGCGGGUAACGGAUUUUUUUAUUAAAAUCUUAAUGAGAAAAAGGGUUACCUUAUUUUCAGGCCCUCACCAAUUUUUUUUAAACUCUUUUUUUACUUUUUUUGCCUUUAAUUUUUAAAUUUAUUUUAAUUUGAAAAACAACUUUUAACAACGGAUCUCUAGGCUCUC
rnacentral:misc_RNA from 1 species